rnacentral:lncRNA from 1 species
AGUGUCAGCCACGUCUAGCGCACAGUCCCAGGCCCCAGGGCGAAGGCGGCCAGGGGAAAUGGGGCUCAGGGAUUGCUAAGCAAACGCAUCACUGGUGGUCUCCAGCGCCUGCGGAGCAUCAAGCUUAUGAAGAUUUCCAAGACUUUAUUGUUGACCCUUGUUGAAGAGAACUCUACUUGGCUUCUUUCCUGGCUUUCCUAAAUUGUUCACAUACAAGAUAAACUACCGUCAUUCAGACUUACAGAAGUGAGAAGACAAGCUGAACCAAAUGUAAAAUGGUAGCAAUUUACAGGUAAUUCUGUAUCUUAAUUUCUCCCACAUUUUUAGGGUAAAAAAUUGUGAUAUAUGGGGGUUAUUUGGAUCAAGUGUUUUCUAAGUAGAACUUUGUCAUAAUUAAUUUUAUGUAUUUAUAGUAGUUCUCCCUGUGUCCCUUUAUCCAAGCAACACAAUACAAUUGAAUUUAUAUGCAUUUCAAAAUAGACUCCAUUUGAUUUACCGUGUAAAUACAACCACCAAGGAAUAUAGAGGUAUGACAAUCAGGAGUGAGAAAUAAAAGCAUUUCUGGAUAGAGG